CUGAAAGUAAAGUUUAUUUUAUUUUAAUAAAAUGUUAAAGCUAUCUAUUUAUUUUACAGGAGUACAGGGGAUUGAACCCAGAGGUACUUUACCACUGAGACACAUCCCCAGCUUUUUUUUAAAAUUUGAGACAGAACCUUGCUAAGAAUUGGUGAGGCUCGUCUGGAAAAAAACUAAGGAUUGAUACACAAGUAUUUGUGUUUUAUUUCCUUGAGUAGUUGACAUUUAAAUAGAGAUGAAGGGGAAGAGUAGGGGGAAAGGGUAAGCCAAAGUAAAUAAGUAUUAUAUAAGGAUGUAUAUUAUUAGGAAUUAAAGAAGAUGAUGACAAAGCAAAGAAAGUCAUGAAAAGGAAGGUGGUAUGAAGGACAUUCUAGAUGGAAAAGUGUGAGUGAAACCAGGGAAUCUGAAUAUCAUAGUGUAUAUUGCACAACAGAAAGUAAGUUGAUCUAGUUUGUGCUUAAGGCAUAAGAGGAAUCAGGGCUGGUCUAAAGAAGUUACCCAUUAGUACAUGAGGAUGAAUUAGAAGGAAUACUAAUUACAUAUGAUGUGUCUAACACACUGCAUAUGAGGCCCAAAGUCACAGACAUUUUUGUGUGUACACAGACACACACACACACACACACAGUAGCUUAUGGAUGU
rnacentral:lncRNA from 1 species